UUUCCGUAGGUGAACCUGCGGAAGGAUCAUUAUUGUAUAACCGAGGUGCGAGGGCUGUCGCUGACCCGAAAGGUCGUGCACGCCCGAGUGCCCUCACACACAUCCAUCUCACCCCUGUGUGCACCACCGCGUGGGUCCCCCUUUGGCUUGUUCGGAGGGGGGCUUACGUUUUCACACAAACUUUGUAUGCAGUGUAGAAUGUAUUUUUGUUUUUGCGAUCACGCAAUCAAUACAACUUUCAACAACGGAUCUCUUGGCUCUC
rnacentral:misc_RNA from 1 species